GGAUGCGAUCAUACCAGCACUAAAGCACCGGAUCCCAUCGGAACUCCGAAGUUAAGCGUGCUUGGGCGAGAGUAGUACUAGUACUAGGAUGGGUGACCUCUGGGAAGUCCUCGUGUUGCAUCCC